rnacentral:rRNA from 1 species
GCGGCAGUGGGAUCUGAAUUUCUGGGAUGAUUUAAACAUUUAAUGUAGCGAAAGAUAAAGAAAACCUUAUAGAAAUCACUACGGAAUUCCGUAAGGAGUGAAGAAAAUAAAAGGAAUAGUCUAUAUAGCUAAGAUAAAUGAAACCUUAUAGAAAUCACUACGGAAUUCCGUAAGGAGUGAAGAAAAUAAAAGGAAUAGUCUAUAUAGCUAAGAUAAAUGAAACCUUAUAGAAAUCACUACGGAAUUCCGUAAGGAGUGAAGAAAAUAAAAGGAAUAGUCUAUAUAGCUAAGAUAAAUGAAACCUUAUAGAAAUCACUACGGAAUUCCGUAGUGUUUCUUGGGGAUUUAACGUCCUGGGAAUUCAGAUCCCGAGGCUG